CGUACAUACGGACCAUCGGUCUACCGAGCAAAUUCACCCGCUCGGCGGAAGAUCUUUCCUUUAUCGU
rnacentral:pre_miRNA from 1 species